UGGAGGACUAGAGGUUAGGCCAUGGCGCUCUCACCACCGUGGCCCAGGUUCGAUUCCCGACACUCCCA